AUCCAGCUGACGAGUUCCAAAUAGGACGAAACGCCCGUCAAACUGGAC
rfam:Schistosoma rodhaini strain Burundi genome assembly, scaffold: SROB_scaffold0001444